AGUGCUGCUGGUGCCGGAGUCCGGAAGCUGACGGCGUUGCCUAGGCUGGAUUGCAGCGGUGCGAUCAGGACUCAUUGCAUCCUCAACCUCCCCGACUCAAGCAGUCCUCCCACCUCAGCCUCCUGAGUAGCAAGGCUACAGGUGCUCUGAGUGCUGGCACAGGAAGGAUGAAAGCGGAAGUCCAAGCACAAAGUGGAAGUCUUCCUCCUGCUUCACAGGGUAGCCUUCCGGGGUGUCUCAUUCAGGAGGGAGCCCAUCCUGGGAGAAGGAAGAGAGCAGAAAUGUGGCCAACCCCUGCCUGCACUAGGGACCUCAUGCUUGUCUUUCUUCAGAAGAGGAUGAUGCUUGUUUGAGAGGGUGGCAUAGUGUUUAUGAUGUUAUACUGCAUUUCUGUUCCUUUCACUAGCUGGAGUAUGAGCUUGUGAACCUGAAAAAUGUUGGAGCACCUCAGCUGGGAAUGUCAAGGGCUAACAGAGGUGGCAGUGAGGCCUCAGAUGGGUUUCAGGUUGCCGUCUUGAUGGGACAUGGCUUAGACUUUCCAUUGCCCUUCAGAGUUUCUUCUUUAGCCAGGUUCCUUAUACUAAUGAUCCGUAUGAUCAGUAUGGCUGAAAUAUAGCUGAAGAAGGCAGUCAGCAUAUAGUGUCACCCAGACCAGACUUUUUCAGGAUGCAGCCUGAAACUUUUUUACCUUCUCAGUCUGGUCCAGGGACUUCUCCAAUGUACUUCUAUAAAAGCUGUGACUUAACAUUUCUGAUGCUAUAUUACAAAUAUCUGCUUAUAGACUGCAGGCUCCUUGAGGACAUGAGCCAAUUCUGCUUAUCUCAGCAUUCCCUGUGCCUUUUGUGGCACCUGAGCUUGAGAAGGUGUUCCUAGCUAAGCCGGACUUUGGAGGAGAACAGCCUUGGUCCAAUUACAGAAAUGAGGAAACUUCAAGGUAAAGAGGGGUGACUGGUUAAUUGUGCUCCUGGGAAAAACAUGCUUCUGAUCAUUAGGUUGAGAAUGAGAACUGUGUGUUUAAAACUGGAGUAAAAAGAACAAUCUACUGGUAGCCCUGACGGCAGCCAGCAUGAAGGGGCUGCCCAGAAGGGACAUUUUUGGAAGUGCGAACAAAAGCUUUGCUCUAGGACAUCCUAGAUUGCUUUUCCAAAUAAUUAUAAGAUGCGAUGAAGGCUGCACCUUUUAUUUCCAUUUUAUUCUGUUUAGGAUGAAACAUUUUAAAUAAAAGUCCUGAAAAUUUAGAAGGCAAAUAAAGCAAUCCUGCUAGUUUAAUGAAGUCAAAGCUGUAAAUGCAGCUUUUAUGGAGUGUCAACCACUCCCUGAGGAACCUGGUAGCUAGAGGGAAAGGAGGGGGAGGGGCAUCCUUUGACUCAUCCCAAGGGGCCAGAACCUUUUUUCACUUUUCUGUAGCAAGUAGGGCUUCUAGAGAGGAGAGCUCUGCUAGUAAGGAAUGAUCCAGGGCCCUCUGGCCUGUGAAUUUUUCCUUCAAGUGGCCUUACUUUCUUUCUGCAUGAUGAGACUGGAGGCAUGGCAUGGCUCUUUGAAAACCACCAUCCCUUUGGGUUGGUGACCUUCUCCCUCUGGUACCUGUGUGCCAAGGGGGUGUAUGGAAGACAGGCUUCUGUCCAGUGCCCUCUGUGGUAUGUGGCCUAUCUACAGCACUAGUCAGAAUGCAAUGGAUAGAGGGCCACUCUGUACCCUGGGGUGUUCUUUCAGUAAUCCUCUCAUCACAGUCACCUCCAAAGGCUGCUCGCCCUGACAGUGGGGAUGUGAUGGGCAGGCUGUCAAAUAGAUUGUGAGUGCAUUAGCAGGAUUAGCAGUGAAGGCUAAUAUUGUAGCAUUUCCAAAGUUCAUUCACGGCAGCUGCUUGGCUGCCAAAUUGGGCAGGCGCAGGCUUCAGAAUUAAUGUCACAUCUGGGAUGGCCCUGAUGUGGUCAGAGGCACAACAGUCCCAUUGUGUUUGACUUGUGUUUAUGUAUUUUUAUUCUAUAACAGAGUUUAAUUUGUAACAUUAGUAGAAAGAUACCGUCUAAGUGUUCUUUUCCAUCUUAUUGAUGAACUAGCUGAAAUACUUCUGCCACCCUUCAAAACCAGAUGCUUUGUUUUUGGUAGUUCUUGGAGUAUUGUUGAUUUUAUUUCUGCUAGUGAAAGUAAUAUACCUUCAUUUGGAAAAAUUUGAUCAGAGAAGUACAAGGGAGCCAUUUAAAAUGCUCAGUCCUUUUACUAUAUAGAUAUUACCUCUGGUGCCAUAUGUAUUUCCAUGUGAUUUUCCUAUGGUGCAUAUAUAUUAAAGAAAAUGGUGAUCAUACAAUAUAUUUGGGAUUGUUUCCCUUUUAAAACACUGAAUAUGGCUGGGCACGGUGGCUCACGCCUGUAAUCCUAGCAGUUUGGGAGGCCGAGGCGGGUGGAUUGCCUCAGCUCAGGGGUUCGAGAUCAGCCUGGGCAACACGAUGAAACCCCGUCUCUACUAAAAUACAAAAAAAUUAGCCAGGCGUGGUGGCACGCACCUCUAGUCCCAGCUACUCAGGAGGCUGAGGCAAGAGAAUUGUUUGAACCUGGGAGGCAGAGGUUGCAGUGAGCUGAGAUCGUGCCAUUGCACUCCAGCCAGGGUGACAGAGUGAGACUCCGUCUCUAAAAUAAAUAACUAAAUAAAUAAAUACACACUGAAUAUUAUAUCAUGAACAUUUUCCAUUUUUUGCACUUUUAGUGAAAAUACAAAAUUUAGUUACUAUCAAGUAGUUUAUAUGAAUAUAUUUGUAUUAGUGUUCUAUUGAUGUGUAACAAAUUACUACAAAUUUAGCACCUUAAAACAAUACUCAAUUAUUAGCCCACAGUUCUGUAGGUCAGAAGUCUUGCAUGAUAUGACUGAGUUCCCUGCUCAGGGUCUCACAAGGGCAAAAUCAAAGUGUCAGCUGGGCUGAGUUCUCUGGAGGCUCUGAGAAGAAUUGCUUUCAAGCUCAUUCUUGGUAGCAGAAUUAAGUUCCUUAAGUGUGUAGAACUGAGGUCCUGGUUUCCUUGCUGGCUUCCUAUUCUUAGCAGCUGAAGCCACCUGCCUUCUCUGCCAUGUGGCCCCUCUAUCUUCAAGCCAGCAUUGGUGCAUUGAAUUUUUAUUGUGUUUUGAAUCUUUGACUUCCUUUUCUGUGAUCUGCUGGAGAGAACUGUUCACUUUAAAGGGCUUAUAUGGUUAGGGCAGGCACACAGAAUAAUCUCCCCCGGCUUAAGGUCAACUGUGUCAGAUAACAUAAUCUAAUUAGGAGAGUGCAAUCCAUCACAUUGAUAGUUUCCAGGAUUAUGCAGGAUAUGUACACUAGGGACAGGGAAUCUUGGUAGCCAUCUUAUAUUUCUGCCCACCACAAUAUUAUAUGUAAUAGUUUUUGUAUUUUCAGAAUUUGUUUAUUUCCACUUUCUUCUUAUUAUAAAUAAUGUUUUGGGUGAAAUGACAUUUUGUAAUUUGCAUUUUCUAAUGAAGUUAAACAUUAAUUUUCAUAUGUUUUUUGACCAUGUAUAUUUCUUCUUAUGUGAAUUAUUCCUUGCUGUUCUUUUUUACAGUAUUUUUUCUAAUUGAUAUAUAAUGCUUUUUCAAUAGUAAGGUUACUAAGCCUUUGCUGAUUUAAAAAAAAUUGUUUAUUGAAAGGAGUCACACUAUGUUGCCCAGACUAGUCAAUAAGCAAUCCUCCCACUUUGGCCUUCCAGAGCACUGGAAUUACAGUUGUAAGUCAUUGUGCCUGGCCCCAGCUGCUAAUUUUAUCACAAAUAUUUUACCUUUGCUUACUUUUUGAUGCACAAAUAUUUUAAACAUAUAUAUACACAAUUCUACCUGUAUCUUUCUUUUUCUUUCUGCCUUUGGAGUCAUUUAGAAAGUCCUUUUGUACCCCAAAAUUUUAGAAGUAUUGAGUUACAUUUCUGUGUUACUUUUAGAGACUUAUAUUAUUUGUGUUUAAACUUUUAUGUAUAUGAAAUUUAUUUUCUAUGUAGUAUUAGGUACAUAGUUAAAUUCCCCCUCCCCCAAAUUGUUAACCAGUGAUUCUAAUGAAGUAACUUAUCCUUUGCUUUCUGAUUUCAAAUGCCAUUUUUGUACUUGACACAUUUGAGUUGCCUUUUAUUCUGUUCAAUUUUUCUAUUUUGCAGACUAGUAUAAGACCCAUGUUCUUACAAUGAUUAUAACUUUGAAAUAAAUUUAAAUGUUUUGCAAUACCAAUUCCUCCCUGUGAUCUUUGGUUUUCAGUAUUUCACUGGCUAUUUUACCCUUCUGCUUUCAGGAAGUUUAGAAUGAAUUUAAAUUGCUAGUGGAAUUUUAUUUGAAGUGCAUUGAUUUUUAUAGAAUUUAUUUUGAAGAGGUUAUAUUUUUGCCAUAUAUAGUCUUCCCAUUCCAGAAAUAUGGUUUCUAUGCUUAUUAAAAUUGUCUUUUCUAUUUCCCAGUGAAGUUUUAUUUUUCUAUUUUAAUACAAUUUUAAAUUUACAGAAAACUUGCUGAAAUAUUAAAAAUAGUUUUUCCCCUGAACUAUGAGGAUAAGUUGCCAAUAUGACACCCUUUUACCAUUGAAUAUUUUGUGUAAUUCUGACAAAUAAGAACCUUCCAUGCCUGGUGCGGUGGCUUAUGCUUGUAAUCCCAGCAUUUUGGGAGGCGGAGGCGGGCGAAUCACCUGAAGUCAGGAGUUUGAUACUAGCCUGGCCAACGUGGUGAAACCCCAUCUCUACUGAAAAUACAAAAAUUAGUCGGGCGUGGUAGCAGGCACCUGUAAUCUCAGCUACUCAGGAGGCUGAAGCAGGAGAAUUGCUUGAACCCAGGAGAUGGAGGCUGCAGUGAGCCGAGAGAUCACUCCACUGUACUCCAGCCUGGGAGAUAGAGUGAGACUCUGUCUCAAAAAACAAAAAACAAAACAAAAAAAACUUCCAUUCAACUAUCAAAAUCAAAAUCAGAAAAUUAACACUGAUAUAUUACUGCCAUCUAACCUGCAGAUCUCAUUCAAGUUUCACCAAUUUGCCUAACAAUGGCUUUUAUAGAAAAAGGAUCCAAGUCAUGAUCUUAUAUUGCAUUCAGUUGUCAUGUGUCUUUAGUCUCCUUCAGUCUCAACUUGUUUCUUAGUCUUUCCAUGACUUUCAUAAUCACAACAAUUUUGAAGAUGAUAGGCUGAUUAUAUGGUAAAAUGUCCCACCUUUGGGACUGUGUAAUAAGUCCUCAUGAUUAGAUUUGGAGAAGUGAUGCUGUGCUUUUUUGGGGUAUGGUAAGGUUAAGAAUCAUUAUACAAUAGCUACAAAUUGUUGAACACAUACUAUAUAAAAUACACUUCACUAGGCACUUCACAUAUUUUAGCUCUUAUAAUCCACACAAGCACACUAAAAAGUGAGUAUUAUUGUUCUUAUUUUAUAGAUGAGGAAUCUGAAGCUAAGAGAAGUUAAGUGAUUUGUCUAAUGUCACUUAGUAAGCUGCAGAACUGAGCCCAGGUCUCAGGCCUGUGUCCCUCCCAGCCUGUGCCUUGUGCCCUGCACCGUGCUGCCAAGUUGACUCCUAUCUUGAACCUGCCUGGGGAAUGUCAACAUGGGCAUCACACAAGAACACAGGAAAUCCCACUUUCGUAAAUAUUCUCCAGACUCAACACUUACUAGUUGUAUGGCUUGGACAACUAAGUUAAUUUUCCUUGGCUUCAUUCAUUCAUUCAUCGACUUAAUGAUUACUUCUUGAGCACUUAGACACAGGCAGUGUUCUAGGCCCUGGAAUUACAGCAACGUAAGACAAAGUCCUUGUGGAAUCUGUCUUCUAGGAUAGCUCUAGUUUCACUAUUUGUAAAAUGGGGUAAUUAAAAUAUAUGCAUAAUUGAAUUGUGAAGAAUAAAUAAAAUCAUUCAUGUAAUGAGCUUAGCCCAGUGAAGAUACAUCAUAAUUUAAUGUGUCAGCUAUUAUGUAAAGAUCAUGAACAGUGAGAAGCCGAUCCAACUCUUGACUCAGUGACAGUGCUCUGAGAUAAGGAGGGAGAUAUAGGAUGGGGGAGGCCUGCAGCCUAGGAAGCACACUUUUUCCAGAUCUGGGAUCAAAGCACAAAGCUGGAAGAUAAUGAUCUCAAUGAGGACAUUGGCAAGGCCUCCCAAAAAGCAGAGCCUAGAGGACACACAUCAACACCAAUUACUUGUUCAGCAUGUGCUUCUCUGCUCUGAUUGCCCAGAGCUGUGGCCAAGGAUUCCACAUUGCAUAGCAAAAAACAAACAAACAAAAAACAAACGGUGAGGACUAAAGGCAAUGUAACACAAGUUGGAGUGUGUGGAGAGCAUUGCUGUUUUUAAAUUUUGGUUUUCUUAAAUGGCUCACUGUCUUAGAUGCCUAUCUUAAAUUCCCACACCUUAACAUGUGGUAUUAACUCCAACAGAAAACAUGCAACCAGCCAAAAGCCAACAUAGUUUAAGAAAUUUAAUAUUUUAUAUGCAUCACAUUUUAGAAAACUGUUUUUUUUUAUUUUUGUGGAGGAAUGGGGUAACCACCACUGGACAUUUUACUUUGCCUCAGGGAUACAGUUCUGAAACUUGGAGUUUAUACCAUAACUUGGCUAAUCUGCUCAGAUUCAGCAUCUGUAACUCCUUUAAGUGGCAUUUAGUAUUAUGACAGGAAAUCUUUACUGUUUUUCUAUUAUGAAGAAACAUUAGUAGACUGUAUUGUAAUAUGUGUUCAAAUUGGGUUACCGUCUCUGAUGAACUGCAGAAGAAAUGGAAACAGAUAGUGAGUGGAACAGGGAUGCUGGUGCAAUCAAUCCCCAAUCUCACAGCACGCACCUUGGGGCCCACAGACUGAGGGUCACAUCUUCCUAGAGUUUCCUGAGAUGGAGAAAAUGAUUUCUUUCUCUCAGUUGGUGCAAUGCUUACAUGGGACAAUGUGUGCAAUUAACCUGGCACACAGUAGUUAUUCAGCAAAAAUAAUUUCCAUUGUUAUCUCCUGUUUUAUGAAUUCAGCUUUCUUCAGAAUUUUAAAAAAAGCAGUUAUAAAUUAAACCACAUUGGUUUCUUAUUCAUAGCUGGAGGGCCUGGCACAUAGAAGGUGUGAUCAUGGGAGUCUGUGGGAUGAAUUAUUUGUGGUGCUUGAUGGAAAAGUGUUUCCUGGCCAACUCCCUUAUUGGCAGCAGCAGGGGGUAGGUUUGGUGGUUCUGUGAUGUCUCCCAACUCUGGAGCUGUGCACACAGACAGGCUAGACUCUUCCUGGCUAAGGCUCAUGGGAGAGUUAUUCUUGUUUCAGUUUGGGCAAAAAUUCUAUGCACAUGCUCUGCCUUUAAAUUCACUUUUCAGAUACUUGGCUUCAUUCUAUGUGCCUGAAACUUUACCAGAAUUUAGGAAUUCAGGGAAGAAUUAGACACCUUUAGGUAGUCAAUAAUUAGGUACCAGGGAAACUUAUGUGCACAGAUACACCCAUGCAUACAUCAACAUAUGCAUGUGUGUGUAUGUGUGUGUGUGUGUGUGUGAGCAUAUAUAUUAUAUAUAUAUGUAUUUAUUUAUAUAUAUAUGUGGAGGUGGUAUCCUAAGGUAAGGGGAAACAAUGUGGGAGACUCAAAGUUGUGAGUGUGAGAGUGUGGGGACCACGGCAAAAUUGGGAUCCAUGGUCCCACAAGAACACAAGUUCAUAAAAAGUCAAAGAAAUGAUGCUUAAGUCUGGGGUUGUCCAAGAUCAAGGUUGCCUUCUGGACCAGAAGAAUCAAGGUUGCCUUCCAGUCUCACAGGAACACAGGUUCAUGGAAAGUCAAAGGAAUGUUGCUUAAGUUUGGGCCUGUCCAAGAAUCAAGGCUGUCUUCUGUAGGUGGGAGGAGGACCAAGAGAGAUGCCUGCUCCGAGUUGUGGGAGAUAAGGAAGGGGUGGGAGAAGGCUGAGUGUCACUGGGCAGGGAAGGGAUCUGGAGAAGGAAAAGCCUGGGUCUGGAAACAUGGUGAGUUGUGAAGAGUAGGCCUGGCUGCAAUCUUGUCCAAGCAGGGAGAUCAAAGAGCCUCUGCUAGGUUUAAGAAAAUGAGACACACAUCCUUGGGGAGCCAGGUGCUUCUGUGGCCAAGGACUCUGCAGCUUGUCUGUCUGGCUCUUAGAUACAUAGCUGAGAACAGACAUGCGGGACUGAUUAGAAAACUGCAAUACUUGGGAAAAAAUGUAGACAUCAGAGACAUGAAAAUGGAAACAUUCAAAUGUUUGUGAAUGGAAUGUGCCUAUCGUUGUGGUUUAUGUGCCCUGGAGACCUUGCGAACAACCCAUCCGUACGCCUGGGGAGAACUUGUCUCCAGAGGCCCCUUCCCUCUCACUUGCACAGUCAUAGGCUUUCCUUGGAUGCACCUGAUGCUUAUCAUAUUUUCUCCUCUGAGAUAGAAUCUUUUUCUACUGGUUUUUAUCCAGUAGUGGGCUAGAGGCCCCCUAAACUGAGGGCUCCAUCAGACACUCAAGAGGAAAUCUUACAUAGUUUGUAAGACAUACAUACAUGUCUUUGCGCUUUCAGCACGAUCAUAUCAAAAGUCUCUUUUGGCUCUUGAUAUUGAUUAAACACAUUUUCUAGUGCAUUUAGUAAUUAUCUGAAGCCCCUUCAUAUGGAGUUUACCAUUUGUGUGUGUGGGCAUGUGUGUGUGUGUGUGUGUGUGUGUGUGUGUGCGUGUGUGUCUCUACUCUGCCCACCUCCGACUGAUGGGACAUAUGUAACCUUGUAGAAGGAGAUCUGGGGUUAGUAUUGGAGAACCUGGGUUUGAACUUCUUUUCUGCCACUGUAUGCAGGUACAGAUAUAUAGCAAAAGGAUAAAGGACUUAGUCUAAAGGCUUAUUAGUUGUCUAUGUUUGGCAAAUUGUUUAAUCUCUCUAAACAAUAGAUUCUUCAUUCAUAAUAUAUAAUUUGUAAAUAUUCAUUAAUAAAUACAUAAUUUAUAUUCAUAAAUAUAUAAAGAAAUAAUAAUACCUGUCUUGGAGAAUUCCUGAGAGGAUGAAACAUAGGAACAAAUACAUUAGUACAAAGUUUGGCACAUAUUAAAUAUUCAGUAAAUCUCACCUGUUAUUAUUAUUGCUGUUUUUUGACCCAAGCUAAUGUAAUGUGGAUACAUUCUGGGUAUAAUUAGAGCAUACGUUAAAUAUUUUUUGGGGGGGGGCACAAAAACGCACACAUUGCUGUCCAUAGUGCUGAACUAUCAUAGCACAGGGGUUGGCUGUCCCUCCUAAUCCUAGGCCACUGCUGAUGGCUGUGCAGUCUCUCCCAGGAAUUCUGAGCCAGGGAUGUUGAAUGAAGCAACCAGAAUGGUAGAGAAGUAAACUAACAGUGGCUUUUGCAUAAGUCACUGAGAAAUUUCUAGGGGAGAGAAAAAGGGGCUUUUUUGUAUCUUUUACAUGUUUAUAUUACCCAAGAAUAAAUCCAAACUCACAUGGCUUAAAUGGCCAUGAAGGUAAGACGUGUUUUAUGUGAUGGAGGGUUGAAGUGUUAGUGUGAAGGGUGAGUUCAAAUAGUAAGCAGAACCCUAAAGGAGUAGAGAUUGUUGAAAUGAAGUGUCAUAAUCAGUUGGGUUAAAACAGUACUUUAAUAUAUAUUUUGAAAUUUUGGCUCAAUGAAAUAUUUGUAAUUGUCAAACUGUCAAAGAUCAAAUAAAACCGUUACCAUGUAUAUGGCCAAUUUCAUGUAACAUUGAAAAUUCAAACAUAUUUCUGAGUGUAAUAAGUUUUUUUUGGAGAGUCUGAUAGCUUUAAUGAGCAGGUAUCUUUCCCACAUUCCUUUCCUUGGGUACUCUGGUGAUGACUCUGGGUAUAUGGUUUCCUCUGGGCCUCAUUUUCCCAUUCCCCUCUUCUUAUAUUUCCUAACGUCCUUCCAUUAGUCAAUCCAUCCAUCCACCAAUUAACCAAUUACUAAGCACACAAUUAUAGAGCAUCUAUUGAGUGUUGUAUACACUGGUGCUCUGUUUGCCUCAAGAGAGUAGCUUGUCCAAUCUACCUUCUAUCAUGACAAACUCUCUCCUUUGUCCCAGUCCCUCCAGAAUCUGCUGGUUCUACAUUCAUUCCCUCAUUCAGCAACAUUUACUGAGCACUUACUGUAGGUCAGAUAUUGUUCUAAGCAAUAAAUAUGGCCAUAAAUACUGUUAUCUAGUGUCUGGAUUGUUGAAAUAGACAUAUGAUCAGCUCCCUGUUUCCACCAUCGGCCCCCUAUAGUUUAUUAUCAGUAAAGUCAGAGGUCUUUUUAAACCUAAGGCAUAACAUGUUAUUCCUCUGCUCCUAGUUCUCCCAAUAGCUUUCCAUCUCGCUUAGUCAGGAGUAGUGGAGGAGAUGAUGAGAAGUUAUAUUUUCUAUGCCUAUUUUAGUGACAGAAACCAUAGAAGUUGUGAUAGAUUAGAUAUAGGUUAUAAGAGAAAAGAGGAACAAAUGCUGUCUCCAAGGAUCUUGUUUUUAACAACUGGAAAGAGAUUUGCCCAUUAGUGAGUUGGAGGAGACUAAGACAAGCAUAUUUGGAGAUAAAAAUUUCAAAUCUGAUUUUGGAUAUGAUAAAGUUGAGGUACCUAUUUAGUAUUUAGAGAUACUGAGAAAGCAGUUUGAUAUGUAAGUCAAGUUUUGGUUGAAGACACACAUUUUGGAGCCAUUAGUAGAUAAAAUGCAUUUAAAGCCAUGAGUCUGUAUGAGAUUGCCCAGAUAGAUAGACUAGAUAGAUAGAUGAUAGAUAGAUAGAAGAUAGAUAGAUAGAUAGGUAGAUAGAUGAUAGAUAGAAGAUAGAUGAUACAGAUGGCUAGCUAGAUAAGGAAGAAUUAGAGGUGAAAAUUCACUUCUAGGAAUCACAGAAGGUCUUGAUAAAAGCUGUUUUAGUACAAUAGUGGAGUCAAAAGCCUGAGUAAAUUGUGUUCAAAAGGGAUUAAGAAGAGUGUAAAUGAGACAGCAAGCAAUGACAGCUCUUUUGAGGUAGCUUGAAAUCUGUGAAGGAACCUCAUAAUUUGCAAUGGGCUAGACAUGAGUAAACCAUGAACAUUUUUGUUAUGGCUGUGUUGUUCUAACAUGGAAGUGUUUUCCAAAUACUGCAUUAGCCUCAAAAGAGCUGGGCAUCAAUGUGAGUAUCUCUCAAAACUAGCUAGGAAGGUGUUAAGUCAUCAAAAGGCUGCACCAUUUCCAAGCUUCUGUAGAAGGAGCUCAGGGCUUGCCAUAUGGGGCUUCUUAAAACAGCACUAGCAACAGCAACAGCCAUAAUAGCAACAACAGUAAGUUAGAACUCUCAUUCUGUGCUAAGCAUUACACUAAGUAUAUAUUUCAUGAUUUUCUCAUUUAAAGUCCAAAACCCAAUGAGGUCAAUGUCAUGUUAUUUGCAUCUUAUAGACUUAGUACCUUAUAGGCAGAGCUGUAGUCCUUCAGAAUAUUUGGUGAGACCUUGAUUUUUAUUACGUUUUUCAUACAGGCAUUGUUUCAAGACCCUGCUGAAAAGCAAGAGUGUAAAAUGAUUUUUAAGAAGUGAUGCAGGGAAUACUAAGUUUUCCCCAAGUGUUACCAUGUGGAUUGAGACCUCACUCUUCCUUCCUACUUCAUUUCUCACUCAUAUGUCUUGGGAAUGCAGAUGCCAUUUUUAAUGGAGGCUGCUACGUCAUUAAUAAAUAAAGCAUAGCAUCUGCAAGGGCCUUGUAUGGUUGUGAGAAAAGCCUGAUUGUCUUUGUAGUCCAUCUCCUCUUUGACUCCCUACUGUGAUGUCUGUGGCUCUUCUGCCCCUUGUAGAGGGAAGGUCUUGCUUCAUUCGGAAGGAAGCAAAGUGCAAAGUGAGGUCACUCUUUGGUUUCUGCUAACUCUUAAGACCUUAACUUUCAGAAACAUUUCAGAAAUGUUUCCUAAACAUUUACAAGAAACAAGAGGUAUUUUGAUAGGCUUAUAAACUUUAUUCAGUUUUAACAAAUGAAGUAACUGAUUUACUAUACCAAUAGGAAUUACAUACUGUGCUAUAAAGUCAAAGGCCAAAAUAGUUCAGAUAGCUACAGCUUUAAUUAAGACUUCAGUGCAUGCUAGAGUGUGGGGAAAGUAACACUGCACAAUCUAUGGUCUAUUCUUUUAAAAAUAGUUUAGCUACUCAAGUUCUAUUUUGUUUUCAAAGAGACCUUUAUGGAAAACUUAAGAAUAUUGGAUUCCUUAGUGACAGUUGUAGGUUUUCAUUAGUAGCAGAUGGGUCCAUUGAAAGGGCUGAAUGAAGAAAUAUGAAUUGAAGUUAGGAGUCUGUUAGAAACCUGUCAAUGUGACAAUGUUUUGUACAGUAGGUUUAAUACUUGGGUAGAAUUAAGUACUCAUUUCGUCUUCCUGAUUACCCUUUUAUCCCCUGUUUACUUGCACACACAUAAACAUUAUUUCAUAUUUUAUUCCUCCAGUAUAAUUUUUUCUUUAUCAGCAUGCUUUGGGUUGUUUGUUUUUUCCUGCCUUUAAUUAAUUAUUAUUAUUAUUCUGAAAGAAACCACAUCUAUAGGUAUUGCAUGUUUUUAAACACUCCUUCAAAUGCCUGUCUUAGACUUCAGAUCCUCUAUUCAUCCAGUAGAAACAAGCCCAGAAAAUAAGAUGUUUAGGGAGGGUUUCUGUACUUAUUUUCACUCUGAAAAGUUUUUGGAGACCAAAACAAUUGAAAGUGUCAAGGAAAUAAAGAAACUCUCUGUGUGAUUCUGGUUUCCCACUGUAUAAUCCUUAAGGGAUUUUUCAGGAGUUGUUAGAUGCUUAUUAUGAAAAUUAUAUAAUAAAUACUCUUUUGUCACCAUUAAUUUCUCCUCCUCCUUUUUUCCUCUUCCUUCUUUACCCCCCUUCUUUCCCCCUCUUCCUUGUCUCCUUCUCCAUAUUAAUAUUAUUAUUAUUAAUUUUUAAAUUUUAGAGACAUUUACCCUGUCCUUUCAGAUUUAUUUAGCAGACUUUUGACUUUAAAGGGUCUGGGGUAAAAACCUUCCUAGAGUUGCAAAUGUCUUUGCUCUUUCAGUACAACCAUAUCAACAGUCUCUUUUGGCUCUUGAUAUUGAUUAAACACACUUUCUAGUGCAUUUAAUAAUUAUAUGAAGCCCCUUUAUAUGGAGUUUACCAUUGUGUGUGUGUGUGUGUGUGUGUGUGUGUGUGUGUGUCUACUCUGCCUAGUUCCUAUUGAUGGGACGUACGUAACAUUGUAGAAGGAGAUCUGGGGAUAGUGUUGGAGAACCUGGGCUUGAAUUUCUUCUCUGCCACUUAUUUGAUGCCUGACCUUGGGCAAGUCAUUUAAUCUUUCUAAGCAUCUGUUUAUCUAUAUAAUGAGGAUAAUAUCUAGCUCAUAUGUUUGUGUUGAUUAAAUGAGAUAGUUUCAAUAGAAGGAAAACUCAUAAAUUGUAAAGUUCUAGUUAAUGUUAAUAUAUAGGUUGCAAUAAUAAUAGCAAUAACAAUUUAAUUGGAAAAAAAUCCUCUUGUUGAAGACUAGAGUUUUUCAUGUGACACAGGCUAUUUUAAGUGAUAUGGUAGAGUUAGACCAUGAUUUACUUAACCAUUUUCUAAACUGGGGCAAUUAAAUUGUUUUAGGUUAUCCAGGUCUAUAAAUAGCAUGCCAAUUGGCAUGCUUAUGCAUAAAUUUUUAAUCUCAAUUUUUGAGUGUCUCUUUGGAGCUUGGCUUCAGAAGGCCAGUCACUUUCUCCCAUGGCUGCCAUUGCUCUAGGCUCCUAUCUUGUCAGUGCAGCUCUGCCCUUUGGAGAGCUCCUUUUCCCCUUGAGCCCUCCCUGGACUGCAGAAGGGCCUCCAGAAAGGCCUGGGUGUGAGUAGGGUUGCCAGAGAAGGCAUGAGCUUUGUGGUUGUUUGGUGGACGGUGAAGCUGUACUAAUAAUGCCUCGUUGUUCUGGAGGACCUUUGUGUAGGAGGGGAUGGGCAAAGCAGAGAACAAGAGAGAGGUGCUGCUUCCAGGCUUUGGAUGCAUGUUCCUGCCUAGAGUCCCCAUCAGGAUCCAGGGGUCUCCCCAGCUAGGCUUCAUAGGAUUACAAUUGAACUCUCAACUCAAUUUCUUCCAGAGAGAGCAAUCCUGUCUGCACCGUCUCUCAUCCCCCAAUGUUGUCUCCAAAGUGAGGAGAGGGGGCAGCAACCCUCCAGGCUGUUAGCAGCUCUGUCUUUGAGUGAGUGGCCUGUGAAAUGUUAGAGAAGACCCGAAACCCUCCUCCCUGGGUGGAUAUCACCUUCUUCCUUUGGAUUUUAUAAAGAACCUGAUCCUCUUUGCCUGAAUGGAGCCAAAUAAACGGGAGUCUCAGAGGAGGUUGAUGGCUCAGUCAUAGAAGUCCCGCAGCGACGUCUGGUUUUGAUGUAUUGAUGAAGGAUAUGAUCACGCUCAGAGAACGAGAUCACUUUUGCCAGUUUGAGAGAAAGGUCAUGUUUUUAAUUUAACUUAAUUUCCUACACCAAAGAGAAUUUUCAAUAGGAUAUUCGACUUUUGCAACUUUAAUGAGACCAGAUGCUCUGGGGCCUGCAGCAAUGAAGAGAAAACAGAUUUUCUAGUUUACACUUCUACUUUGUGUAUUUUCUAAAUUGGGCAUGUGUAGUUCCUUUAAGAAUAUGAUUUCUCAUUUGGGGUCUCUCUCUCUCUCUCCCUUCCUUCCCUUCUUCCUUCUUUCCUUUAUCCCUUCUGAUUUUUCUCCUUCUUCUAAGUAUUAUCUGACUGAGCACUCAUCACAGGCUAAGCAAUGUGCUUAGAACUUUACAAACAUAUAUUUAAUUUCCAUUUUACAGAUGUAGACACUGAGAUUCAGGGAGGUUUUUAAAAAGACAUUUAGCAUAUAUUGUGUAGUAAUUCAUAGUAAAUUACAGUCUUGGACUCUGACACCAAGUCAUCUGGGUUCAAGUCCAGGUUUGGCCAUUUACUUGUGAAGUAACCUGGGAAAAUCACUUACCUUUUGAUUACUGGUCUUUGUUGGUUGUCUUAAAGUUGCAGGUUUAGUUUUAUUUUUAAUGAUGACAAUUUUACAUACAAUAGGGCAUAUGUGUAGUUUAUAGAGUAAUAAAACAAAUGCCUGGGCAUCUGCUGUGGUGGAUGUUUGUGUCCCCACAAAAUUUAUAUAUUGAAAUCCUAACUUCUAUGGUGAUGGUAUUAGAAGGUGGGGCUUUUGGGAGGUGAUUAGGUCAUGAGGGUGGAACCCUCAUAGAUGGGAUUAGUGCCGUUAUAAAAGAGAGCCUGGAGAGUUAGCUAGUUCCUUCCACAAUGUGAGGACACAGUGAGAAGUCAGCAGACUGCAAGCAGGAAGAAGGCCCUCAUCAGAACCCGACCAUGCUGUCACCCCGAUCUUGGUCUUCCUAGCCUCCAGAACUGUGAGAAAUACAUUUCUACUGUUUAUAAGCUGCUUAGUCUAUGGGAUUUUGUCAUAGCAGCCUGAAUAGACUAAGACAGGACACAUCUGCAUAAGUUUCCCUAGGGUUUAGACCUAGGAAUGGGAUGGUCAGAGCUAUGUAUGUUCAACUUAUGCCCACUAUUUUCUAAAUUUGUUGUAACCCAUUUAUUUUCUGAUUGAAGACUAGAGAGUUUUAAUUUCUUUAUUUCUUCAACACGUUGUGUUGUCAGACUUUAAAUGUUUUUGCCAAUGUGGUGGGUGUAAAUACAUCUUAUUGUUUUAACUAACAACUAAUUUACAGUGAAAUUGAAGAACUUUACAUAUAUUUAUAAUGUUUAUGUUUUCUCUUAGGUAAAGUCCCUUUUAUUUUGUUAUAAUUUUUUUUGCCCACUUCUUUUAGAGUCUCAUUUUUCCCAUUUUUUUAAAUUGGGGAACUGUUCUGGAAGCUCUCUAGUAAUUUUAGAGCUCCAUGCUCUGUGAUUCAAAACCAGAUACUUCAAUGCAGCCAACUCUAUGCUUUUAUAAAUUGUAUUCUUCUUUUGAAACAUGCUGGUCUAUCGUAGGGAUUGAAGUAGGGAUUGAAGCCAGCUCAAGGCUCUGGCUGUUAGGCCAAUGUACAAGGACAGUGUAGAAAAGGUCUUAGAAUAGCCUAAGAGAGUUUUCUUUUCUUUUCUUUUAAACGUGCACUUUAUUUUGCUCGUAGGCACAGGGGGCUCAUUUCCUUUUUUUUUUCUUUUUCGAGAAGAGUGUUCUGACCCUAGUUGGUUAUUUAAAAAUUCACAUUGACAAUUAAAAAUAAGAUCUCUUGUUUCCUCUUCUAUAUUCCCUCAAAUAUAUAUAAGCUGGGCACACAUUUAUGAUUGGGCAGAAUCCAGAUAUUUUAGUUAAAGAUAUGUGGGGGUAUCCUUCUUCUCCCUUUAUCUACUAUUCCUCCCUGAUAUUAGAAUUAAGAAAAAAUGCAAAGUUUAGGAGAUAAAUCUUUCCUGUUUCUGCAAGUCAAAUACAUGAUCACAACUUAUUUUUAGGAUAAUUUAUUAGGUAUCUUUUCACUUCUCCAUUUCUAACUCAAAAUUCCCUUUAGGUUUCAAAAGCAAUAACAAAAUCAAACAAAAAUUCUCCAAACUGAGGCUCCAGUCAACCAACAAAAAAACAAAUUUAACCUCCACAAAAGAACCCUGGCAAGCAUGAUCAAAUCCAAUAUUACCUUUUGACUUAGAUUAGGACUUAACAUAGGAGUAACUAAAAUUACUUGCACAACUGCCAGUGCUUGCUCCUACUUUAGCACCUUAUCUUUUACUAGAUCAGAAAUCUCUGAACCAAAGAGGAAAAAUGUGGUACAAUGGGAAAUCAGAAGAUUCAAGGUCUGGCCACUUAUUAAGCCUGCAGUAAUGCUCUGAUGUCAUCCAAGGCUCAACUUACUAUAACAUUGCCAAGUGGCUGUGAUGAGAACUUUUACAUCACUGGCAAUGAAUAAUGCCUGAUUGGUAGGUGAUGGUGGUUGUCAAAAUCUCUUGAAAGCACUUUGUCUUUAUGGAGUUUCCAUCCUACAUCAGAGAGACCCAUGGUAUGGGGUGUCUUGCCCUCCAUGGACCUCAGAACAAAGCUGGGGAUCAGGUCAGAAAGUUGGACCCAAUCUUCAGAAGACUGGGUUACCAAAACUGUCUCUGCCAAAGAAGGCAUGAGAAUACACUGAAAGUGACAACUGUGAGGGCACUUGGCUUCCAAAGGGAGGUUAUGAGAGAUGGUUAAAAUGACUUUGGAACUGGUAGCCCCUAUUAUAUUCCCACAGGGCUGACCAGGAUGGAGCUGGGUUGGGCAGAGGGUAUGUAUGGAUUCUUUGAAGCCAGUGAACCAGAAUGUUUGAGGAGCACACACAGGUUUCUUUCUUUCUUUUUUUUUUUUUUUGAGGCGGAGUCUCACUCUGUCACCUAGCCUGGAGGGCAGUGACACGAUCUUGGCUCACUCAAGCUCUGCCUCCCGGGUUCGUGCCGUUCUUCUGCCUCAGCCUCCCAAGUAGCUGGGACUACAGGCGCCCGCCACCACGUCCGGCUAACAUUUUGUAUUUUUAGUAGAGACGGGGUUUCACCGCGUUAGGUGGGAUGGUCUCGAUCUCCUGACCUUGUGAUCCACCCCCCCUUGGCCUCCCAAAGUGCUGGGAUUACAGGUGUGAGCCACCGCGCCUGGCCCACACGGGUUUCUUUAACUUCACGAUACAAAGUUUCUGGAAGUUCUGUUGAAUUCUCUCAAAGCUGGAAAUAGGUUUGGCCUCCCGGUGCCCUCCUCAAGCAGAGCGGCUGGCUCGUCUCUCUGCUACACAUUUUGCCUCUAGGUAAAAUAUAAUAUCAUUCUAACCAAGAGUUAAAACAUCUAAAAGAUGGAAAAAGUGAAAACCCUUGAUUCAUAGGAUAGUAAGGUGGUAGUGAUGGUUGUGGGGAUGUUAUGUAAACAAUGACAGAGGCCUUCAUUGGCCAGUGUUUACAACUAUACACAGUCAUUAUCUAAAAGUAUAAGCAUAGUUUAUUCUUAAAUUGUUGGGCGGUCUUUGCAUUACAUCAUACAUUAACAAGGUCUAAAUAACAAAAUAUCCUCAUAUAUACUCCAUGAUUUUUCAAGACUUUAUUAAUUCCUCCCUCUGCUGGCUCUUACUACUGCUCCUAGAAUUAUUAAUCUACUCCCACCUCCAAAUGCUUGUGACCCUCUCUUGUGCUACAAUGGCUAGUUCAUCCUUCUUGGUUUUUUCUCCUGGUUCCCCUGGAAAAAUCAAGUUGGGUUGUUUUGGGUAUCCUAUUUGCUUAGGAUUUUGUUGUUGUUGUUGUUGUUGUUUAUAUUCUAGGUCAAUGCUGCUGAAGCUUUAGUGAGCAUCACCUGUAGAGCUUUUUAAUAUACAGAUUCCUAGUAUUAAUCCCAACUAGUAGGUGAGGUGGGGGGUGUCAGAGAAUUUACAUUUCUAACAAGAUACCAGGUGAUGCUCAUGUAGCUAGUUUGAGGCCUUAAUUUGAUUAGUGCUGUUCUAGAUGGUACUUCUAAAUGGAUAGAGUUUAUUUACAUAUUUAGUAUAAUACAUGAAAACUUUUAUUGUCUUGUGGUUUCAAAAUAAAAAAUGUAGUAUAUAAUACAAAUCAAUUUUAACCAGUGGUUACUUCUCUCUAAAUUCUUGGCUUUUUGAGGACCAACGCUUACUCAGAUUUUUAUCCAUGGUGAAGUCAGUUCACGUCAUGCUCAGGAAGUAUAUGUUGAUUGAAUGAAAAAGGAAGGAAAAGAUAACCAGCUGAUGGAAGCCUGUAGCACUUGGGGCUCCAGGCUCACCCCUCACACCCUUGUGCCACAUUUCAUCCAAACCCUGGAAAUUGUGAUCUCUCUCACUUCCUGCUGCAAUUCACUGGCAGCCUUGGGACCACCCUGCCUUAGGCUGAGAAGUGAGAAAUUCUGAAAGCAAUCGAACACUGUAAAUUUUCACAGCAGUUCAACGGAAAGCUGUUGGGCACAGAUGUUUCUGUAAUUGUGAUAUGCUGGGAACAUUCUCCGGCUCUAAGCACUGAGGGCCUGAGUCUCAUUCUUCCACCUGGGUGCCUCAGUGGCCAAAUCUUACUAUAGUGAAGCUGUAAUGGGAACCAGGUGGCAGCAUGUGCCUGUCUUAAAAGAGCUGAGUGAGAUUCAUGUCCCAGUGUCAGUCCCUCCUUCCUUCCUGCCCCAGCACAUUCCUUGGGGAGCCAGUUUUCAUGAUGGCAGACCCCACUACUUACUUGAGCAUGGGGUGAUUCUUAGCUCCUUGUCCAAGAUGGGAAUGGAAUCUCAUGUUUGCUGGUGGGGGGAGCCACAGAGGCCUUCCAGUUGCUCUUUGAUAGGCUGUAAGAAAAGAACUCGGGAAAGGCUUGGGUGGUAUGAAAGAAUAUGGGUAUUCUAACUGACCUUUGUGUGAUCAGGGUUACUACCAUCAUUUAAAAAUCCACCAAAGGAUCUUGAAACUUGUGACUUACUCCUUUCAAGCUGAAUUUUCUUUUUGGGUAUGAUAUUCCUGCUUUUAGCAAGAGAUAGCCCUCAUUUGCUUCAGGGCUCUUCCUGCUUUGAAACUGGAGGGAGGCUGUGAAUAGCACAGGGGAAACAUCUGCCACUGUUUGAAAUGCAUACCACAAAACUGACAAAAGUUCAAGGAACUUGGAACAGUUUUCACAAAUGUUUCCAGUUGGAGGACUUUAACCUGUGCCUACUGUAGCCAAAAGCGUAAAGAGGACAGAGGGUGAAGGAUGCAGAACAGUAGAGCUGGCAAGAGGAAACAGUGUAGCAGCAGACAUUUCUUGGGAGGAUGCGUGCCAUGGUCAGUGUUCCAGUCCUGGUGACUCAGACUGAGUGACCAUCCUUGCACUGCAACUGUCAGUGUUGCCACAUAACAAAUGGUCUUCUACUUCUUUUCACAAGAUAUUUGCUGAACACAAGCUGAUGAAAACCUGUUUUUAUAAACCGUAGUAUAACUUUUAUGUCUCAAUUUUAUCUAUGUACAACAUCUAUAUAACUGUGAAACAAAGGAAAUUUAUACAAUAUUCACAAAUCUACGAGAUCCAAGAGGAGUAUCUACUUCCAAUUGUAGCUUCCAUGCAGAACAUGUUCUACAUUAAAACAUACAUAGUUAGAUCUUUCUUCUUGGUUCCCAUUAUUCACCAUGUAGUUAUUUUUAAAAAAGUUACUCAGCCUGUUGAAUCUAUAAUCUCCAAAUAGAAAAAAUUCCAAAAAAAUAUUUUUCUUUUAUAAUUUAUAAUUUUUCUUUUAAAAUAUUUUCUUUGGAGUGUUUUUAUUAUAUCAGUUGGCUCAGUGAGGGAACUGAUAAAAGAAAACUAAAAGAAGCUUCCAUAGGGGAAAAAACCCCAGAUAAACUAUUAGAAGUAAUGAGAAAAUUCAGUAAAUUUGCCAGAUCCCAGAUCAACUUAAAUAUAUUUAACAUUAUUUUCACCAGCUAUAAUAAACUAUCAACUAAAAAACUUAAACAACAAAGACAAUAACUUUUUUUGACAAUAACUUUCGUAAUAUCAAUAAAAACUAUAAAGUAUCUAGGAGUUACCUUAAUAAGGCAUACACAGAUUUAUAUAAAAAUGUUAAAUUCUACUUGAGUAUGUACAAGAUGAUUUAUUUAAAUGGAUAUACAUUCCCAGUUUUUGUAUGGAAUGACUUAAUAUUAUCAAGCUGUCUCCCCAAAUUAACUUAUAAAUUCAAUAUAAUUCCAUUUAAAAUUCUAGUGGGGUAUUUUGAAGACCUUGAUACAAACAUUCUAAAACUUACAUAGAAGAAUUAAGGUCCUUGAAUAGCUAGGUCAAUCUUAAAAAAUAGAGAAAAGAGAUUUUUUUUGGCCUGAUACUAAGAUAUAUUACAACGUGUGAUAUUUAUAUAAAGAGACUAAUAAUCCAGUAGAACAGAAUAGAGAACCCGGACACAUAUAUCUACAUCUGUAUUUCCAUGUCUAAAUAUCUAUAUUCAUAUCUAUGUAUAUUUGUACCCACAUCUGGGAAACUAAUAUUAAAGAAAACUGGCAUAACAAGUCAAUGGGAUAGGAGAGAUAAGUAGCUUAGUAGUUAGAUUUGGAAAAACUGCCUCAUAAUAUAAAUUUUUUUGACAACAUACAAAGGUAAACUUUAGGUGGAUUAAAGUCUUAGAUAUUGAAGGAAAUGCUAUAACGUUAAUGAAAGAAAAUAUAGGAGAAUAUUUUUGAUGUCUGGAAAGAAAAAUCACUUCUUCAAUAAAACCUUUAAAAUACAAUGUAUGAAAUAAAAAAGAAUUGAUAAAUUUGACUACAUCAAAUUUAAGAAAAUCAUAAGUAAAGCUAACAACAGUGUAAAAAUUGGGAUAAUAUUCUUGUAAUGUUAUUACAAGAUAUUAAUAUCUAGGACAUAAAAACAACUCUUGUAAAUUAAUAUGUGAAAGAGAGGAACCCCAGUAGAAUAAUGAGCCAAGGAUAUGUACAACCAAUUUACUCAAGAAAAGAUCCAAAAGGUCAGCAAAUAGUCACCAAAACAGCAUGGUACUGAUAAUAGAAGUAGAUAAAUAGACUAAUGGAACAGAAUAGAGGGCCCAGAAGUAAAGCCAAAUACUUAACAACUGAUUGAUAUUCCACAAAGCAUACAAAAACAUAAAUUGGGAAAAGGACACCUCAGUCAAUAAAUGGUCCUGGGAAAACCAGAUAGCCACAUGUAGAAGAAUGAAACUGGAUCCCUAUCUCUCAAUAUAUACAGAAAUCAACUCAGAAUUGAUUAAAGACUUAAAUCUAAGACCUGAAACCAUAAAAAUUCUAGGAGAAAACCUAGAAGAAACUAUUCUGAACGUUGGUUUAGGCAAAGAAUUUAUGACUAAGAUCCCAAAAGCAAAGGCAACAAAAAUGAAGAUAAAUUGGAUCUAGUUAAACUAAAAAGCUUCUGCACAGCAUGGCUGGCUCGGGCCUGUAAUCCCAGCAUUUUCAGAGGCUGACGCGGGUGAAUCACUUGAAGCCAGGGAUUCGAGACUAGCCUGGGAAACAUGGUGAACCCCAAUCUUUACUAAAAUUACAAAAAUUAGCCCAGUGUGGUGGUAGGCACCUGUAAUCCCAGCUACUCAGGGGGCUGAGGCAGGAGAAUCACUUGAACCCGGGAAGUGAACUUUGCAGUGAGCCAAGAUCACACCCACUGUACUCCAGCCUGGGCGACAGAGCAAGACAAAAAAGUAGGCAAAUAAUGUGAAUAGGUAUUUCUCCAAAGAAAACAUACAUAUGGCUAAUAAACAUAUAAAAAUGUUCAACAUCACUAAUCAUCAGGGAAAGUAAAUUAAAACCAUAGGGAGAUACCAGUUUACCCAAACCAGAAUGGCCAUUAUUAAAAAGUCAGAAAACAAUAGAUAUUUGUGUGGAUGUGGUGAAAAGGGGAUGCUUACACACUGCUGAUGGGAACGUAAAUUAGUACAAUCUCAAAGAACUAAAAGUAGAUCUGCCGUUCAAUUCAGCAAUCCCACUACUGAGCAUCUAUUCAAAGGAAGAGAAGUCAUGAUAUCACAAAGACAUGAGCAUGCAUAUGUUUAUCAUAGCAUAAUUCACAAUUGCAAAGAUAUGGAACCAACCUAAGUGCUCAUCAACCGGUGAGCCAAUAAAGAAAAUGUUUUAUAUAUAUAUGGUGGGAUACUACUUGGCCAUACAAAAGAACAAAAUAAUGUGUUUUGCAGCUACUUGAUGGAACUAGAGGCCAUUAUUCCAAGUGAAGUAAGUCAGGAAUAAAAAACCAACUACUGUAUGUUCUCAUUUACAAGUGGGAGAUAAACGAUGGGUACACAAAAGGCACACAGGGUGAUAUAAUGGACAUUGGAGAGUCAGAGGGAGGAGGGUGAGAGGGGCAUGAGGGUUAAAAAAACUACAUGCUGGAUGCAAUGUACACUACGUG
rnacentral:lncRNA from 1 species